rnacentral:lncRNA from 1 species
UAAAAUAAUUUUUUUAAAAGAAGAGUAGGUCAAAUUGACAAUAUUUGAAACAUUAGAAUAAUUUAGAGGCAAACCAGACAUGCAUCAAUUUGAUCAAUUCGUUAAAAAUUACAUCCUAACCUUGCUGUCAUCAAAUCAUCCUGACGAUGAAUAUUGAUCAACUAAAAAAAACUACCAAAAGCCCCAAGAGACCCACUGCACCAGUAAAGCAAAAAAUGUCAAGUCUCAGAUGAUAUAUUCUCCUACUCAUCAUCUCGAGAACAGUCCUUAAUAGAUCUAGCGACAACCUUAUAUAGUCAAAUCUCAUAUAUACACCAAAAUAUGACUAAAAAUUAAGGGUCUGUUUGAUUGCCAGUAAAAUAUUUUCCGUAAAAUGAUUUCGGGAAAAUGUUCUACUUUUCUGUAAAAUGAUUUACUGGAAAAUAUUUUCUGGUGUUUGAUUAAAUCUGUGUAAAAUAUUUUCGGCUGUUUGGCAAAUUUCCUGGAAAUAUUUUUCGAAAAAAUUGUUUUUACAUAUAUUGAUAUAUA